UACGGAGGGUGCAAGCGUUAUCCGGAUUCACUGGGUUUAAAGGGUGUGUAGGCGGACUUUUAAGUCCGUGGUGAAAUCUCCGGGCUCAACCCGGAAACUGCCAUGGAUACUAUUGGUCUUGAAUGUUGUUGAGGUGGGCGGAACGGGUCAUGUAGCGGUGAAAUGCAUAGAUAUGACCCGGAACACCGAUUGCGAAGGCAGCCCACUAAGCAAUGAUUGACGCUGAGGCACGAAAGCGUGGGGAUCAAACAGG
rnacentral:rRNA from 1 species